AGAUUGAAUCAGUUCGUUUCGCAGAAGUUUGUAAUCAAUCAGUUCUUGAUUGAUAAAUCUACUCAACUCGUUCCUCCACAGUUGUGCUACAGUGACACGGACAGUUUUCUAUACCACAUACAAGAAGGCGAUUUGACUGAAAAAUUUUCGAGAAUAUCCUCAACUUUCAUGGACUUCUCAAACUACCCUGUGAAUCAUUGUCUCUAUUCCAUUCAGAAUAAACUCACCCCGGGCAGAUUCAAGGACGAAAUGGCAGGUGGCGAAAUCCAUCAGUUUGCCGGGUGUAGAGCCAAAUGCUACUCUAUAGUUACAGAUGAAGAACAGAAAAUGGGAGCCGCGGGAGUGAAGAGAAAUAUGUAAAAGAGACUGAAGCAUGUCGAUUUUGUAACAUGAGUCCAUGUACUUGAAAUAAAAAUAAUACAUUUAUAAAGUAUAUUUAAUAAAGA